rnacentral:rRNA from 1 species
GACGAACGCUGGCGGCGUGCUUAACACAUGCAAGUCGAACGAAGUGGCGAACGGGUGAGUAAUACGUGAGUAACCUGCCCUCCUUUUUGGGAUAAGCCUUGGAAACGGGGUCUAAUACCGAAUAAAGGGGGAUGGGCUCGCGGCCUAUCAGCUUGUUGGUGGGGUGAUGGACUGCCAAGGCGGUGACGGGUAGGCGGCCUGAGAGGGUGACCGGGCACAUUGGGAAGGGGAUACGGCCCAACGGCCUACGGGAGGGGGGAGUGGGGGAUAAUGGACAAAGGGCGAAAGCCUGAAGCAGGGGCGCCGCGGGGGGGAUGACGGGUUUCGGGUUGUAAACCUCUGUCACGAUGGAACGGGUAGGUGGAGAAGAAGCGCCGGCUAACUACGUGCCAGCAGCCGCGGUAAUUC